AUCGCUUCUAGGCCUUUUGGCUAAGAUCAAGUGCAGCAUAUAUGUAUGUGUGUAUAUAUAUAUAUAUAUAUAUAUAUCAGACAGAUUCUUCGAGUACAAUUGUUUUUCUCAGUGGAAAGACAGGUUUCUUAAUCUUCCUGCUCUGUUUUCUUCUUAGAGUCCUCUCAA
ensembl:snRNA U2 U2 spliceosomal RNA